UCCGCCUAAUUAGAACCCCAAACACCUCAUCGGAAAUCAAAUCAUCAUCUUCUCAUCGAAUACCUACCGUCGCCAUAAUCCAAUCCAUAGAUCUACCACCGGCCAGUCGAGGCAAAUUUUUCAAUACUGGAGGAACUAAACUCACGUAUUUAAGGAGAAAAACGACCUUUUCGAACAUGUAGAGUUUCUUAAAGAGUUCUAAAAUUUUCAAGAAGUAAGUAAUAUGGAAGAUUCAACAUGAUUAUGGUGCGCUCUACUGGUGGCAACGGUUUUCUAAUCAAAGGUAACUUAGUGUGAAGCCAAUAAAAGCCAGCUGGAGAGCACUGAAGGCUUGGGAAAGUGGCAAUAAAGUUACCUAAAAUAAAAUAGAUGCUUUUAUUAAACAAAAUAGGAUUUAUUCCUAUGAAAAUGUGUGUACUACAAACUUGGGUUUUUACCCAUGUGUUUAAUGUUAUAAAAUGUGGUGGUUUACU
rnacentral:lncRNA from 1 species